UUGCUAUGAUGAAAUUCAGCUUUUGAAAGUCACAAGGCUUGAAGAUGCAUCGGCAUCGACAUCGACAAUCAUGUCGAUUCUGAGCGGUUACCUGUGCAA
rfam:Capsicum annuum cultivar Zunla-1 chromosome 12, whole genome shotgun sequence